rnacentral:tRNA from 1 species
GGGUGUAGCUCAGUGGUAGAGCACUUGCCUGGAAUGCGCGAGGCUCUGGGUUCCACGCCUAGUACUACCA